rnacentral:tRNA from 1 species
GCUGGGGUAGCUCAAUGGGCAGAGCAGGGGUUUUGUAAACCUCAGGUUGUGGGUUCGAGUCCCAUCCCCAGCUCCA